CCAAUAGCGUAUAUUAAAGUUGUUGCAGUUAAAAAGCUCGUAGUUGAAUUUCGGGAUCAAUAUGUCGGUCGUGCCUCGGUACGUACUGGUGUCAUUGGUUUCUCCCUUCUGAAGAACCUUGAUGUCAUUAAUUUGGUGUCUUGGGGAAUCAGGACUGUUACUUUGAAAAAAUUAGAGUGUUUAAAGCAGGCUCGCGCUUGAAUACAUUAGCAUGGAAUAAUGAAAUAGGACGUUUGAUUCUAUUUUGUUGGUUUCUAGGAUCGACGUAAUGAUUAAUAGGGAUAGUUGGGGGCAUUAGUAUUCAAUUGUCAGAGGUGAAAUUCUUGGAUUUAUUGAAGACUAACUACUGCGAAAGCAUUUGCCAAGGAUGUUUUCAUUAAUCAAGAACGAAAGUUAGGGGAUCGAAGACGAUCAGAUACCGUCGUAGUCUUAACCAUAAACUAUGCCGACUAGGGAUCGGAUGAUGUUGAUUUUUUAAUGACUCAUUCGGCGCCUUACG
rnacentral:rRNA from 1 species